rnacentral:tRNA from 1 species
GCGGGGGUGCCCGAGCUAGGUUAAAGGGGGCGGACUCAAGAUCCGCUGGCGUAGGCCUGCGUGGGUUCAAAUCCCACCCCCCGCA